rnacentral:rRNA from 1 species
UACGGGGGGGGCAAGCGUUGUUCGGAAUUACUGGGCGUAAAGGGUUCGUAGGUGGCCAACUAAGUCAGACGUGAAAUCCCUCAGCUUAACUGGGGAACUGCGUCUGAGACUGGAUGGCUUGAGUGCAGGAGAGGAACGCGGAAUUCCAGGUGUAGCGGUGAAAUGCGCAGAUAUCAGGAGGAACACCGGUGGCGAAGGCGGAUCUCUGGGCCAUUACUGACGCUGAGGAGCGAAAGCGUGGGGAGCGAACAGG